UACGUAGGGAGCUAGCGUUGUCCGGAAUCAUUGGGCGUAAAGCGCGCGUAGGCGGCCCGGUAAGUCCGCUGUGAAAGUCAAAGGCUCAACCUUUGAAUGUCAGCGGAUACUGCCGGGCUAGAGUCCGGAAGAGGCGAGUGGAACUCCUGGUGUAGCGGUGGAAUGCGCAGAUAUCAGGAAGAACACCAACGGCGAAGGCAGCUCGCUGGGACGGAACUGACGCUAAGGCGCGAAAGCGGGGGGAGCGAACAGG
rnacentral:rRNA from 1 species